rnacentral:lncRNA from 1 species
UAGGCUGCCGCUGGAGAGAGGGUGUAACAAGCUCCUCUCUCUGAACUGUAGACUGCCGCUGGGGAGAGGGGGUAACCUGCUCCUCUCCCUGACACUCUCUUUGCUGGUGGAGAGGGGGAUCAACUGUCUCCCCUUUCAAUAUUUUGUCCUGCGGCUGGGGUGCGAGACAGACGGUCUCUGCUUCCUGGGGUACACACUGCCGCUGG